rnacentral:lncRNA from 1 species
AGAGAGAGAGAGAGAGAGAGAGAGAGAGAGAGAGAGAGAGAGAGAGAGUAGAGCGCAUAACUUGAUUGGGAGGGAACCGAACAUAACAUCGGAUUACAGAUUCUCCGAAGAGAGUUGAGAUGGGAGGCUGACUCAAGACAGUAGCAACACGCAGAGGAGUGAAGUGGUGGUCGCGGGUACAGAGUGUGAAGGAGCGGGAAGUAUUAAUGACGUCAGGAGUGUAACGUUAAGUAAGACGCCGCCUCUAUUGACUGCGUACAAACCGCCCUCGUCAUGCACAGGGAGUAGUAACCCGCCUGGCGAGGGCCGAGGGCCGAGGGGCGAGGGUUGGAGGGGGUGCAAAUGUCGCCACUUUACAGCCACGACUCUGUGUUGGCCUGUUGCCUCCCCUCUCCUCCUGCUUCCUGGAAGGUUCACGUUCUCAAACUCCGGGAAGCCCGUGAGUGUGCGUCACUCAGCCAGCGCGACACAGCCUCGUGCAGGGGAGUGUGCGGGUAUCCCAGGAAACGUUACACUUAAUAUCAUUUCUAACAUUGGUUGUCUUACAUGAUCGAUAUUGUCACGUCACUGAACUGCCAAGCUCGUGAAUUUGGCGAGUUUCUUGUUACGCCACCAACACGCUUUUGUAAGCUCAUAUACUUACAUAUUAUGGAUGACGUUAUAUGAUAAUUGUCAGCAUCAAGUAGAGCGUUGGUCAGAUGUCAGUUCGCUGCAUGGGGCAACGUUUGCACCGACUUGGAUACGAUGCAGGCUCGGCGUGUGAGGCCUGGUAUGUUUAUACAUACAUACGUCUCUCUCUCUCUCUCUCUCUCUCUCUCUCUCUCUCUCUCUCUCUCUCUCUCAUGAAGAAGAAGAAGAAGAAGCAACGUUACGUAUGGGAUGGACAAGACAUUUAUGGUGUCUAAGUGCGUUUUAGAAUGGGAAAAUUAGUGUAGGAAAUAUGAACUCUGUAAGGUUAUGCCUCAUUUCAGCAAAUUCUUUUUUUUCCCGGAAUGUUUACUAUGAUGGAGUGUGAGGAGGGUCUGUGGCACAUAGCUACUGGUCCUGGUUGAGCGUGGUGACGCGAACACACUGCAGGUGAUGAGGAGUGCGGGGGAAGAACAGAAUACUUUGCACGGCCUGGAGACCCUGAGCAUGUUAUGAAAGUCAAGCACAGUCUCCCCCACACCUGCGGGAGACCUUGACAACAUUUUUUACUUAACAAUAAUGGUUUGAAGGUCUGAUACUGGGAGCCCCAUAAAGAAGUCAUAUUGUCAGAAGGCUGGUGUCAUCAGUGUAGCAAUGUUCCCUAACUAUGAGGAGUGGGAGAAGAUUAAGACAGCGCGUGACGAAAGGGUCUGGGCAACGGCCAGACUCUCUUGGCAGCGUCGGCAACACCAUUCCUGAGAAACAACACUGAUUCCGCCCCAGCGUUGUGGGAGCACGCUGUUUGGUAAGCAAGGAGACCAGCACACGUAGGCGGCGCUUCAACACUGACUGAUGAUUGUUUAAAACAAUGAGUCUCGUAGUAUUCUAUAUCAGGACUAUCAGAAGUAGUUCGUAAAACCAAAUAAGCCACGCCAGAACAUAUUAUGAUGUUUAACAAAAAAAGUUCCUCACACUUAUAAAGUAAUCUGGGUGUGUGCAACUACUACAGGACUUUUUGGUGGUGCAUGCAUCUGCCUCAUAUCGUGGGAGGGUGAAGGGGCUCGUCACCUUAUUGUGCUGGCUGCUGCUGUUGCUGCUGCUGCUGCCGCUGCCUCCUGUCCUCGCCUCAAGGUCUGCCAGGAUGAGUCACAAUGUGAUAUUCUGUACUUUAGUAUUCGCAUGUUAUCACAUUUUAUCACUUCUUCGUUACAGUCGAUUCAUUCCGUGUAUCAAGAAAUAGACAACAAAAAAAGUGCCACGUAAUGCGAGGUGAAAGUUGUCACACCUCUGCUGCGUUGGGGGCAUUUUCUGCAGUAGGAAGUGUUGUUAUCGUACAGUGCUGGCAGAGAGAGGCAGAGAGAGGCAGGCUGGUGCUGGCCUGAAGCUAACAACACAUCAAUAGCGAUAUGGUUACUCCUUACUUCUUUUUAUCGUGUAUCUCAUUGAUCCAUAGCAUGACCUUACGCUGACUAACACGGUCAUCACACACUCAAACACACACACGUAACCCCAUAUGGUAUUACACCACAUUCCUCAUGGCAAUCCAUAAGUGGGUCAGUGGGGCAAGUAUAAGACCUCUAGAAAACACUGUCAGCAAGCAAAAAGGUUCUUGUUGAUAAUAGAGAAAUGGUUUGAAGUGCUUAAGUAUGUUAUCUUAGAUGCCUCAAGCAAGGGCAUGCAUGUAUACGAGUAUGUCGUGUGGCGUGAAAGUAAGACUCCCAUGCUGGUAUUUAUACUGUCUGAAAUCCAACGUUCUAAUCUGUGAAUGAAGGAGAGAGGUAGUGAAGGUGAAGAGUGGCUAAAACCAGAGCACAAGGCGGAGAAAAAGGAAAGUGAUAACCUCGAAGCGAAAGCAGCUACAGCGGCAGCAGCAGAAGGCAAGGGGCGGGGUGGGCCAAGUACUAUCACCGCGGGACAACGGGUCUGAUAGAGAAGGAAAAGGAAAGGGAAUCUAGAGGGGAAGCACUGAAUGACGUUAAGACGAAUUGUAAAGAAAGAGUGAGGAGAGUUGGAGGCUACAAGGAGGAGAAAGUUUCCCCAGUGAAGCAAAUGUUGUGGUUUUCAACACGCAACUAAUGUGAGGCCGUGUCCACCUCGCUGCUCCUGCUGCUCCUAUCACACACACACACGCACACACACACACACACACACACACACUCACACACACAGUGGCAUGAGUUUUGUUGUAAAAGCUGUGUAGGUAAGAAAGGGUGAACCAUCUCCCCUAAAGAGGUAUGAGGGAAGUGCACGUCACGGCCGUCGCGCCCCCACACUCGCCGGCCUUCAUGCCGCGGCUGUGUUGGUGCUGGUGCUGUUUCUGCUGCUGGUACUGGUGGGGGAUAGGUACAUCAAAACCUUCUGUUGCGGGAGAACACUAAUGCGCUUAUAAUCAGCUUAGAAACAGCAUUAUAUCCGCUGGAGCGUCAGGACUGUGAUGAUUAUGGUAAUACUUCCUUGAGACACGUAUAGGUAAGCCAUUCAGGUAUCAGUGUGUCCUCGGGAAUCACUGCCAGCACCGCCACCUCCCCUCAAGGACGUCCCUGGCUGUUCUUACCAUACAGCUUUGGACAAAAACUUUAAUUAUCAGCCAUAUAUUUUCUUGAAGCAAGGCCAAGGUGAUGGAAGGAUGAGCCGAGCCUGGUGCCUGCAUAGUGGGUGUCGCUUGAGAACGCUAGAUAGGAAGGAGCGAUUAGGUACAAUGCGAAUACCAGCUGUGUGUGGAUGGUGGCUUCUCUUCCUCCUGAUGUAUUUGGCUUUUGGUAUGAACCCUUUCUGUUUUGUGAUGAUGGUCACAACGACGAAGAUGGUGAAAUAAAUGUACUCGCCAGUGUCUUGCCAAAGCCUUUAAGUUCUGUGAAAAGAGUUCCAUGCAACGAGGAGGGGAGGGAGUGGCGUCACCAUGGUUGUGGUACUCUCCUGGAGUGAAUGUUCCUGGCUGGUGCAGGUUUUCACAAGUAUGAGAGGCGGCUGAGGUUGCGCAAUACGCCCUUCACCUACUAACGCUCUUCCCUCACGUUUUUGUGGCGAAUGGCAUCGUACAGAAUCGUCUGCAGCCCACUCACGCCCCAGGAUGGUAAUGUGGCAGUAAUGUGGCUGCCAACUGUCUGGAAAUGAGGAUGUAUCGUUAGUAGCUAUUCCCUGUUUACCUUACAGCACAAGAUUGCCUUUCACCUGUCUCGCAGGGAUGGGUGGGGGCCUUGUUGCCACACUCCGUCUCGCCUCAGGUCCUUUGUGUGUGCGAGCUGGUUCCCGACGGUGCGGGGCCGCCGGCAUGAGGACCCACGAGUCCAGGCAGUGCGUGCUCUGAGGAAUCGUGCCACAUUACUUCAUCGAGGGUUCUAGUCCGAGGCGACCCUCUCUUCCUCCCUCCCCCCCUCCCUUGCCGUUCGCCUGACCUACUGGCCCAGUCUGACGCGCUGCCUCUCACCCGCCCCUUCCCACCCUCACACCCAUCACUGCCUCGCUCGACCUCGCUCCCUCACCUGCAUGAGGCUGCUCCACUUUGUUGCUAAUCGCACGUAUCUGAUUGCCAACGGAGUGAUUUUUUUUUCCUUUCAGCAAUAUCUGAUCUGUUCUUCACAAUCACAGUGAGGGAACUUGCCUAUUCUCAGUGCCGUGCCACAGCCCGCCACCUCUCCAUCACACAGGAAUUUUAGACCUUUCCUUUCAUGAGCCAUUCCAGCCGCCACGCUACUUUCUCCUCGACUUUUACUCUCUGUAGUUUCUCUGUUUAUCGUACCGUCGCCACCGUGCUCACCCAGCCAGUGCCAAGCCAGCUCCGCCUGCUGCUCUAUGGCGAUAUGGCCCUGGCAAAACGCAUACAUUAACUAGAUAAGCCACACUACGAUAAUGGGGACAUGCUGUUGGCUUGUCGGAUGUGCACCAGGAAAUACCCUACUUUCAAUACACUCUAGCGUGACAGCGUUGAAUAGGGAGAACAAAUCAUGUACUGCAUUGAGAAGAGAACAUUAGACCAUUACUUAAUUUGAGUUUCCAAUGGUUUACCUUAUUUUGUGGUGACAAUAACAUGAUAUUCGAACAUUAUUGUAGUUGGAGGGAUGGAGUAUGAAAGCUUCUUAAACAUUUCAAGGCAUGAGGUUGGCAAUAGCAGGUGUGAUAGCGGCGCACUUUACUCUUGUUUAAUGCAGGAGAGGUGAGUGCGAGAAUAUGUCAGGCGGAAAGUUUAUGCAUUUUAGGUGAAGAAGUUGUCAAUAUGUCGGCGAUAGAAGGUGGUAGUGGUGCACGUCACUGCCGGUGGUGGAACAAUGGAAAAGUGACGAGCAGGAGUGCAGUGACGAGUGGUGAGGUGCGAGCAGGGAGGGCGGCGCGGCACACCACCAAGUGCCGGGCCGCGGUGAUCGCUACUCGAGACGUAAUAGAUGGUGACUUGCGUAGUGUGAUCCCUUGCCGUCCUUCCUCCCCUCCCCCAGCCCAGACCCUUCCCGUGAACAUUUAUUACUCUCAUUAUCCAGAAUCAGAAUAAAAGUGAAGCAUCAAGGCCUGCGUGGCGGCACAGGGGACGUGGCUGUGCAUGGUUGUUGACCUACUUGUGUCUAGGCUGUUGAUGUUCCACUUUACGUCAUGACCUUUCCUUGUGGCGGCCGUAUCGUCCUUGUGGAAUCAGUUCGCUGCAGGCUACACAGGUGCGCGGCGUAAGGUGCAAGCCAGGUAGCUGAUGUUAUGUUGUUCUUCCACCGCCACCGCCGCCGCCGCCCCCCGCCAACACCUUCCGGCUCUCAUCCUUGUCAAUUAUGUUUUCCUUUAAUAUUGCAAGGACCUUUUUAUCCACUGCCUCCUAAGUGAAGAGGAGAGAAUAAAAUGCUACGCUGCUUCAUUACGAAUCACUCCUUUAUGUAACAAGUAGCUUAGAGUGAAAUAACCAUCGAAUAUUCUUUUAACGUUUAAUAUUUUCUCACAAACAUAAAAUUGGAACUUACAUAAGAGAGGAAUUGGUCAAGGACAUGAAAAAGGUGCCACUCCCAAGGGAAAGGUUAAAGGGAUCAUCCAAAAAAUAGAAAUGACCUCGAUAGCCUUACGUGGCUGGUGAGUGGGUCAUGUGUGGCGUCUUCCCGAGAGGCUGCACGCGAGGGACAAGAUCAUGACCCAAGGACGGCCGUUGGUGAAAGCCGGUGACGGUGUGCAGGAGGUGUGGGAGGCCUCGUCACUCCUUGCCUAACUCCACGCCACAGGUUUGCCGAAGCUCACCCCUCAGCCACGGUCCGCGGUCGUGAGUUUGGGGGGUUUAACAAGACCCUGGACUGCGGGUGAGGGGACGCGCAAGGUUACGAGGAAGGACAUUUGUGAGUUGGCUUGAUCGCUUACUCGUAUCCGUGAGCUUCCCGAGGCUCGCUGCACCCUCUGUCGGGACUUGAUUGAAAUGGUACUUGAUGGUACGUACUCUUUUAGGGUGUGAAGUUAGCUCUCUCUCUCUCUCUCUCUCUCUCUCUCUCUCUCUCUCUCUCUCUCUCUCUCUCUCUCUCUCCCCAAGAGUGCAGAGAACGCGUGCCUCUUUGCCACCAAUACAUUCCUCACACCUGUCAUGCAACAAUGCGGCGCCGGAGAAGUGCAGCUCUGGGCAGAUCGAGUGUUUCACGGCAGCUUCCUGCAACAACAGCGAGCGUGUGAAAAACACCCUGGAUGUGGCGGCUGGGACCCUCCCUAAUGUGGGGAGGCGACGGUGGAGCUGCGGUGGUGGUGUUGGCGCGGCGGCCUUGAUUGGGACCAGCCCAGCACGUGCUCCCUCCUCGGUCAUGCAGUGGCCUCCGCUGCCCCCACUGCCACAGCCGUCGUCACCACCAUAACAUGCCACCCGUGUUGCUGCCUUAUCACAUGGCUAUCUUUGUUUCUCACGAUGAUCACAAACAUAUCUACUCAGUAUCGUCAGCUUGGCACGUCUGUCGUGCCGGCCUAAAAAUAUCUUUUUGAUAGUAAGACUGGCAAUGUGUGAAGGUGAGCAACACCUGUGGCGGGAGGUGCCGACGGUCGCCUGCUCGUGGAAGCCGCAUCGCUUCAAGGUGUCAAUAGUACGAAGAGGAGGUCGUUGGUGCGUGUGGAGGCUUGGAAGAGCAAUGAAUGCGCUAUUAAUACUCUGCCACAGCAAGGGCUCUUAAGAGGGUAGUAGCUAGGAAGUUGCACUAGUGAGAGGCACGCCGCCUGAUUGACCCUCCAGCUGACCUCCCCGUUAGCCGGCAGGUCACCACGGUAAAUCCACCAAAACCGCUACUCCAGUGCACUUCCUUCCAGGCUCACCGCACCUCAGUCUGGUGCUCCUCGCGUGACUGGAAGCUCCGGCCAAUGUCAUCUCAUCAAUAAAGUUACCAAUCAAUGCACA